UACGUAGGGUGCGAGCGUUAAUCGGAAUUACUGGGCGUAAAGCGUGCGCAGGCGGCGCGUUAAGACAGGUGUGAAAGCCCCGAGCUUAACUUGGGAAUUGCGCUUGUGACUGGCGUGCUGGAGUGUGGCAGAGGGAGGUGGAAUUCCACGUGUGGCAGUGAAAUGCGUAGAGAUGUGGAGGAACACCGAUGGCGAAGGCAGCCUCCUGGGCCAGCACUGACGCUCAUGCACGAAAGCGUGGGGAGCGAACAGG
rnacentral:rRNA from 1 species